UGAGUGAGCACUUUUGCCCAUUUGUACUCCCUUCACACACAUCUCCUGUACUGCACCAUAAUCUGUGUCUUGCUUUGUACUUAUAGCUUUGUAUACUAAGAAUAUCAUCUGUAUCGUAUGUUUAUAUAAUCUUAUGUGCUGAUCACCUCCUGUCUAUUAUCUUUACUAUCCACUUCACAAGGGUGGAGAGAACCCCUUGGUGGUGAUUUGCUGCUAAUUAUAGAUAUUGAGCACUUAUACUCACCAGUUUUUCCAUAUAUUGAGACAGGAUUGACUGGUGAACAUUAUCAUUAUUUUUUUUUUGUGUGUAACCCAGUGGAGACCCAAAUGUUGCCUUUCCCAGGCUGUUGUACACUACUGGCUAACAAAGCAUCAUGCGGUCUGUAGUUCUUUUAAAGUUGGGCUCUACAUUUUGGCCUCCUAUCAAGAUUCUGACCUAGAUAGGCUUUCUUGAACAGCCUUCAACACUUAUCCAGAUCUCUCCAUUGUGUGUGUCUGUGUAUAUAUAAAUAUAACAUACAUAACUUCCCUGGGGGAGGAAAGAACUGGCACACCCUUCAUUAAACCGGUUAUAGAUAUAUAGAGCUUAAAGAAAAAACAAAAAACAUUCUAUGCAAACUUUUCAUGGCUCUGAUGUGGCUUUAUCAUUAAUUGUGGUUUAAUGGGCAUCUUAGGCAUGGGCACAUUGUAACAGCUCCCUAUUAAUAUACAUCGUAUACAAGCUUAUCGGGGUCAGUAUUUCUACGCUCCAAAAGUGCUAGAGGGAUAAUAGAUGAGUUCUUACAUGCUUUGUCGUUCCCUCUAGCACAGUUUGGCUUUUAGCGUCCUAGGAAUUUAAAAUGCACCGGUCAUGACGAAAUUAUUUUGUUCUAAAACAGCUUACUAAUAAAUGCAUGUGUCACAAGAGACUCUCUAUAAGGUGCAUUUUGGGUGUAGGUAUGGUCCCCUAACUGUUUAAAAACCAUGGCUUCCUUCUACUAAUAAUGUGUGCGUGUUCACUGUGCAACCUCAUAAUAGUACCUCCAGUUAGUGGAAUAUUCAAAAUUGGCUCCCACAUUCUAGCAAUAUUUCUUAGCAAUUAUCUAAAAUGAAAUAAUUUUAGACGUAUGCAUUUAUUAGUUAUUGCUUGUUAUAGAACAAUGUGUCAAUUGUUAUUAUUUAGCUUUUUAGAGCAGAUUUGUCUUCUUCAGCUCCCUGGUCGACUUCCUCCCAUAGAAAUCUGCUCGGUACUGGUCAGACCUAUCACCUAAAAUUUUAUGCGUUUUUAACCUUCGACUCAUGGGGCCUUAAAAAAAAAUAUCUUUGAAUGAAAAACAAAAUUGGCAUUCAUUUUGUGGGGCUCAAUGUAUAGAUACUGUACAUUGUUUUUAAAGUGCAACUAAGUAUGUGUAAUGAACAUGUCUUAAGUUGUACAUAUACCAUGUAAUUAACUGUGGCAGUCAUCGCUAAUUCUCAUAGUGCAGAUGUUAGCACUACAUUUCCUAUGAUGCUCGACCAACAAGAUAUGUUUUUUUUGUUUGUUUUUUUACAAAACUUGCUUUAAAAAAGUAAGAAAUUGCUGCUCUAGGGCAGGGUUUCUCCAACUGUCAGGUUUUUUUUGCAGCUUUGGGGAGAUUAGGGAGAAAUUACAAACUAGAUGCAGAUUAUACGCCAAGUCGCCAAAUUGAAAUCUUUCUCCAAUUCCCAAUAUUUUCAGCUAGAACUCACAACUGUCGGUUUUCCACCGUUCCCUUACUGAAUCCUUUGAUAUAAAACCCGCAAGUAAUUUGUAUUCAUGUCACUGGUUAACUUCCAUACAUAUUUAACCGCAAUGGUAUUUGAUAGGGAAUAUGCCAACAGGGGUUUACAUGGUGGGGUCGAGAUUUGAGUACAGUGACACCUAAUUAAAAACCUGGCAUACAGUAACCAGAUUCGAAAUGGCUUACGACUUCUCUCCAGCCACAGAGGUAUUCCCUUCCAGAACAAUUUGUCAACACAUCAUCGAGUUCUAAUCUCUUAUAAUCAGGGUUAUCCACUAAACUGCAAAUUGUACUGAAUUCAAAUCCAAAUGUUACUCAUUAGGCUAAAGUAGCUGAUUUUGGAUAAAUUCUCCAACUCUACUAUAGUCACAGUUUGGCUCUUUAGCCUAAAUAUUUCCUAUAAUUCAGAGUUUGUGAAUAUUUUUGAAGGCCAGAGUUGUUGAGAUAUAGUAAUAACAAUGGUCGCAGCUCGCAUUAAGAUCUCCACAUAGGAAAGCAUUAUUCAAUGCUUCCCCAUGUGAUUUCCCGCGACACUGGAGGUCCUUAUGCAUAGCGUCCAAACGUCUGGUAGACAGCCACUAGAGGAGGACUUAAUCCUGCAAGGUACUUAUUGCAGUUUAUAAAAACUGCAAUAAUUACAUGCUCAGGGUUAAGGGUGAAGGGAGUUGGUACCAAGACCACUUUAAUGGGCUGAAGUGGUCUGGUGCCUACAGUGUCCCUUUAAUUAGAUGGCUAGUUUCCCUACAAUCUGUAUUUUGUGACUUAAAGGAACGGAGAAGUUGGUGUACACUGAGUUUUGUAACUAUGUAAUAAAUCUCACCCCUGUGGAGUGUGUUUUGUCUUGUGUUAAUUCAUUGUAAUAAAUCGGAUACACCCAUUCAGUGUAACCUACAAUAUGCAGCUUACUGUAACUGCCCUUUGGGUUUACUCAAUGACAUUUAAAUGACAGCAAUGCCUUGGGAUUGUAAUCUUGCCAAAAAGGAUUUGGUUUCCAGUUACCUGUGUCCCAGCCGUCCUCCGUUUUCUGCCUUACUCUGUGUAUGUGUAACUGUGCUGCCUUCCAAUUAUAUAUACGCUGAGAAUUAUUCAACUUUCAGUCCAGUUAAAGCAACGGGGUAACUUUCCGAAAUGUAACCCUGGUUCUUUAAAAAUGGUUAGCGCAGGCAAGCGCCAAUAUGGAGUGUAUAAAAUUCAGCUGAAGAAAGCUUCUUCUUUUACGGCAGGGUUUCUCCUGUAGAGAAUGCAUGAAUUGGAAUUCAAAGACAUUUGUACUUAACACAUGUUCUGAAAAUCAGCGAUAAUUGGUUUUCGUUUCUUUGGGCGAUUUAAUGAAAUAAAAACCAGUCACUGCCAUCUAAGGUUAGCUGUGAAGUUUUCGCUUAUUUUGUCUUUUUGCAUUCUUCCAAAAAUUGUGUUAAAGCUCAUCAAUAAUCAAAAGAUUCAUUGCAAUCCAUGUGUUUAGAAGGGUUCACGUUCCUGUGAAAUACUUUCUCUUUGACAAGAAACAUCACUGCAGAUUGUCUCCUGUCAUUUUUUUCUUCUUUUUUUUUUAACUGCUUAAAUCCCAAUAUAAUGUAACAAUAUUUUGAAAUGACAAAAACAUGAUUUAUUGUAAAUUCCAACCUGUCUCAUUAAAUGUCUCUAUAAGCAUU